rnacentral:rRNA from 1 species
GACAGACAGUGCAGGCGUUAUUCGGAUUGAUUGGGUGUAAAGGGGUACGUAGGUGGUCAUUAAAACCAGGUACUGAAAAAGCUGGAGUAUAACUUCAGAUAGAGGCCUGCAGAUUUUUUGACUAAGAGUUAAUCAGGGGUUUGAAGAACUUCUAGUGUAAAGGUAAAAUUUUACGAUAUUAGAAGGAAGACCAAAUGGCGAAAGCAUCUUUCUGGGAUUAACUGACGCUGAGGUACGGAAGCAUGGGGGAGCAAACAGGG